rnacentral:rRNA from 1 species
AACGAACGCUGGCGGCAUGCCUAACACAUGCAAGUCGAACGAGACCUUCGGGUCUAGCGGCGCACGGGUGCGUAACGCGUGGGAACCUGCCCUUAGGUUCGGAAUAACUCCCCGAAAGGGGUGCUAAUACCGGAUAAUGUCUUCGGACCAAAGAUUUAUCGCCUUUGGAUGGGCCCGCGUUGGAUUAGCUAGUUGGUAGGGUAAAAGCCUACCAAGGCGACGAUCCAUAGCUGGUCUGAGAGGAUGAUCAGCCACACUGGGACUGAGACACGGCCCAGACUCCUACGGGAGGCAGCAGUGGGGAAUAUUGGACCAUGGGCGAAAGCCUGAUCCAGCUAUGCCGCGUGAGUGAUGAAGGCCUUAGGGUUGUAAAGCUCUUUUAACCGGGAUGAUAAUGACAGUACCGGGAGAAUAAGCUCCGGCUAACUCCGUG